rnacentral:rRNA from 1 species
CAAUACAUCACCGGCGGACGGGUGCGUAACACGUGGGAAUAUACCUUUUGGUUCGGAACAACGCAGGGAAACUUGCGCUAAUACCGAAUGUGCCCUUACGGGGAAAGAUUUAUGCCAAAGGAUUAGCCCGCGUAGGAUUAGCUAGUUGGUGAGGUAAUGGCUCACCAAGGCUCCGAUCCUUAGCUGUUCUGAGAGGAAGAUCAGCCACACUGGGACUGAGACACGGCCCAG